rnacentral:tRNA from 1 species
GCGGCAGUAGCUCAGCGGUGGAGCCCCUCUUCGCAUGUGGGGAGACCGGGGUUCGAUUCCCGGCUGCCUCU